rnacentral:rRNA from 1 species
UAUGUGAUCGUCUCUCGCAUAUCAAUAAGCGGAGGAAAAGAAACUAACAAGGAUUCCCCUAGUAACGGCGAGUGAAGCGGGAAGAGCUCAAAUUUGAAAUCUUAAAGGGUUUCCCUUUACGAAUUGUAGUUUAAAGAAGUGUUUUCUGUUGAGGGUUUUGGUAAAAGUUCUUUGGAAUAGGACAUCAUAGAGGGUGAGAAUCCCGUAUUUGACCUUUACUUUCAACUUUGUGAUACAGCUUUCAAAGAGUCGGAUUGUUUGGGAAUGCAGUCCAAAAUGGGUGGUAAAUUUCAUCUAAAGCUAAAUAUUGGCGAGAGACCGAUAGCGAACAAGUACCGUGAGGGAAAGAUGAAAAGAACUUUGAAAAGAGAGUUAAACAGUACGUGAAAUUGUCAAAAGGGAAGCGUUUGACACCAGUGUUGUUUUUCUGAAAAUCAAUUAAAGAACUGUUUAUGCUAAGUUGUUUAGACUUUAUCCAGCUAUCUGUUUAGUUUUGAGCUUUUCUUUAAUGCACUUUUCAGUUAACAAGUCAACAUCAAUUUCUUUUGCUGUAAAAAAGCUUGAGGAAGGUGGCUUGAGAUUCGUCUUAAGUGUUUAUAGCCUCUUGCCUAUGCAGUCGGAGAGAUUGAGGUCUGCAGCGUAGAUCCUUCGGGGCUAAAUGCAUUUGUGCUAAGUUAUAGCAUUUUAUAGACAACUUGUUGACUAUGAUUUGUCUUGUAGCUUACUCGCUUAUGUUAUUUUACCUACGCUUAGGAUGUUGAGUAGCGACAUACGCAC